CCCAACCCAACAACCCCGUUUGGGCUGUGUACGCCGUAGCUGCAAGGACUUGCAUGCCGCGCGCGCGCCGCAUGGGAUCCUUGCUAUAGUGGUCGGUCGGUCGCCACGCACGGCCACGCACAUCGCUCCAAACAUCGACGGCUUUUCUUUGCAAGCAGACGGAUAGAGAGAGCGAGCGAACGACGACGGAAGGAGAGACCGAGAGGAGGGGGAUGGGGAUGGAGGAGCGAGAGACGGCGGCCAGGGAAUGGCUGGAGAACAUCAUCGCCAAGAGCCAAAGCCAAGAUGCUGCCGGAGGGGCGGUCUGGAAGGGCGGCUUCUUCAACGCCCUCUCCCUCUCCGGCCUCUGCGUCUCCCGCGUCCAGGCCGGUCAAGCCCUUUGCUCCUUCCGCGUCCCCCUCCACCUCACCGAUGGGGAGGGGAAUUGGCAGGCCGGGGCGAUCGCGACGGUGAUGGACGUCGUGGGGGCGGCGGCCAUCAUGACCACCGAGGGCCUCAUCAAGAUCUCCGUCCAGUUCGACAUCUCCUACUUCUUCUCUGCCCGCGCCAACGAAGAGGUGGAGAUCGAUGCACGGAUAGUGGAGCAUAAAGGGGGCAGAAGGCUGACGGCGGUGGUCGUGGAGAUCCGGAAGAAGGGGAAUGGCCAGAUAGUGGCCGUGGGAAGGCAGUGGAUGACAUCCGGUCGCUCUCUCCGGAGCAACCUAUGACAAUUCUAUCAUUUUACGAAGGAAACCUUACUGGAAAAACCAGUGCAAGUAUAGCAAAUAUGGUUAUCAAUUGUGAUAGAGGCAGGCUUUUUGCUGAAUUGUCCCUGUGAAGUAGUAAUCCAUCCAUGUUUUCACAGAAGAAUACCAAUCUUUACAGAAGUAUCAUACGCUAUUCUUGUGCUACAUGAUAUGCAGGAUGUGCUUAGAUACAUUAAGCAACCUUAAGUACGAGGACUGAAUUACCAAGUAUGGAUCUGUUAAUGAUUACCAAAAAAAAAAACUAUGGAGCUUCUUGAGGGUGAUAAAUGUUUGUCAAGCUGUGGUUCUAGAUAUAUAAUGUACUAGUCAUGCUUCAUCAUUUUCUCUUCUUGCUCCAUGUGCUACCAGAAUCAUAGGCAUGUACCCUUGGACAAAGAUACAUAAUCUGGUCUGGACCGGAUCACUGGCAUAAAUAAAAACCUCCUCUCCACAUCAUGGUUUAUUGA